UACGAGGGGGGGCGAGCGUUGUUCGGAAUUAUUGGGCGUAAAGGGUGCGUAGGCGGUUCCGCAAGUCCUGUGUGAAAUCUUCGGGCUCAACUCGAAGUCUGCACGGGAAACUGCGGGGCUUGAGUGUGGGAGAGGUGAGUGGAAUUCCCGGUGUAGCGGUGAAAUGCGUAGAUAUCGGGGAGGAACACCUGUGGCGAAAGCGGCUCACUGGACCAUAACUGACGCUUGAUGCACGAAAGCGUGGGGGAGCAAACAGG
rnacentral:rRNA from 1 species